GAGGGAAUGUGUACAGGUGAAAAGUCUGCUUGGAAAAACUCUGCUGCCACCCAGGUGAUAGCUUUUGAAGAGCAUCUUCCAGACCCUACUUCCUCUUUUUCAGAUCUUUGAACCAGACAUGGCAGUCCUUCAAGAAGUCUCUCAAUUAGAUGGCUGUCCUCUGCUAAGAGGAGAAUAGGGCCACCGUAAGGGAGAGAUGCUGGAAUGAAAUUGUCCUUUCUCCCUAUAAUGGUCAUAUCCCAGCUGCAGUGUUGGUUUUGUUUGCUCUCAGUAAAGGCUUUUCCUUCUGUCCUGCUUCCCAUGGCUUCACAGUUGGUACUUAUAGUGCCGAAAACACUCUGCUCGGCUAAGCAAUGCUAUUGAGGCCUUGGACUGAGUCCAAAUCCCCACUGAGCCACAGAGCUCCCUGGGUGGUCCCGGACAUGCCUGCCUCUCUUUCGUCAAUCACCCGCUCACCCACUUCAACAUUCGUGUGAUUUGCUGCAUCCUCCUGAAGAUCAGAGCCCCAUCAAACGCAACACAGUAUUUGAUUUGUUUUUCUCAUGGCAAGUUUUCAAUGCAGAAAGAAGAAUAAGAAGAAUAAAAAGACAACUAUUUACAUAUCUGUAGGAAUAACUGUCCUUUUGUAUUUGCAGGUUGCGGAAAAAGAUUUCUCCCCAAAUUCAGCUGGACAUUUGGGGACAGGUUUCUGCUUGCUUUUUCCUCUUGCCCUUGUUAAGGAUCGGAAGUUGUUUCUCAAGUGAGACCAGAUCAGACCAGACCGGCCUGGGGGCCAGCAAGCCCACUGCCCUGGCUCCCAGAGAAGCUGCACCACCUGCUCUUUCAGAAGGAGCAACGCUACCAGGAUCCAUCCAGCAGAAAAGCACCCAUCCUUGCCCCGGCAGCUGGGGCCGCCAUAAACAUGCCGUGCCAUUUUAGCCACUGCAAACACACCUUUGGCCACUGUGGACACAGCCAAACACUCAUUCCCCAUAUCUGCCUUUAAGCAAUGUACUAUACUGGGGAUGGAAUAAAUGAGUAAGGAAACCCUCAAAUCCCAGGUUGGGUGCAGGUUCCUUGUUCUUUUUGCACCCAUUCAGGUGAGAGGGCAAAUGUACAAUUGAAAGAACUUUCUCACCUUGAUCCCUAUGUAGAUAAAGAAAGGAAACACGAGGACACAACUUUAUCCUUAGUGGGGCCAUUUUGCCUCAUGGGAAGACAAAAAACAAACCUGUGCAAUUUUCAAAUGUACAUUCAUGUGAUAAUGCAGAUACAAAGCGGCUCAGCACUAGACUGGCCUGGUUAAAAAAGAGAACAGGGCUCUUGAACCGUUACAUUAGGAGUAGCCAACGCAGUGCCCUGGAGAUUCUGUUGGACUUAAAAUUCCAAUAACCACCUACCCAUUGGUGGUGAUGGGGGAGUCAGGGUCCAAAGGUCUCUGGAGGACCCCACAUUGACUAUCUCUGCUUGACGUAAUUGCUAGGCAAGUUACACCUGCUGGAAUGCCCUCCCCACUAUGCAACAAUUAAAAGUGCAAGGGUUUUGACUUCUUUUGCAUUUGACCAGGCUAGUCAUGAUCUAGAAGAGUAUCUUGUGACUUGUGAGGUGAUCAGCUGAACUGCAGGAAAUUCACAUGACUCAGUCAGUUGAACCACAGAAGGGUAAUAUGCAUAGCUUUGCAAUGGGGACAUAAAAUGGGGGAAAAUCAUGUCUGUAACCUGCCUAUGGCUGGGAGUUUAAACUGUAGUUACUGACUUGACUUAUGCAAUUAUGUAUUCCUGUUCUGAGGUUGUUAUAUAACUGCCUAGGAAGAAAGGUAGGCCUGUAAAUUUGUUUUCUGAGGCAACUUACACACACACACACACACACACACACACACACACACACACGUUGGAAGAACUGUUUAAUCAUGGAACUGAGAUCCUCAUAUCUUGAUGCUUGUUGGUGGAAAAAAUAUAUUUCUAUACUGCUUUAUAUUUUUAAUAAAAAUCUCAAAGUGGUGUACAGCAUAUUAAAACAAAUAAACAAUAGCCGGGCGAUGUUCUUCUGGCUUCAUGAGGAGCCUCUUUUGUAGAGCUGGUGAGUGUGGGCCCUGCCCCCUAGGGCAGGUGGAAAGAGCCUUGCAGGGAGCAGCCUUGACGCCUCACAGCCGGGCAAUGUUCCUCCGGCCUCAUGAGGAUACUCUUUUGUAGGGCUGGUGAGUUUAGUUAAUUCCAUACAGUGCAAACCAUGGAGAAAGUAAACUGUGAUCCAUGUGGAUUGUUGUGGGGCAGUAAAAGAGAGCAGGGGAGACCGAGAUCUGUAGCCACAAGAUGCUGCAAAUAAUCAAAACAUGCCACAUGUAGCUAAGCGUGCUAUAUUUCACAGGGGAGUUUGAAGAAUCUCAGCCUGGUGUGCUAGAAAAUUGUUUCUUGAUCCCAAAUGCUAUCAGAAUAACCCAGAUCAUUUAGAACAAGACUCAGGUGACCACCUGAGUGAUCUCUGUAGAUCAAAAUCUCAAAAUCUUUAGCAGACUGAAAUGGAGGACCAUUCAUGACAUCUCUGAAGCGAUCA